rnacentral:rRNA from 1 species
GACGGAAGGUGCAAGCGUUGCUCGGAAUCACUGGGCGUAAAGGGUGCGUAGGCGGCUUGGUAAGUUGGGUGUGAAAGCCCCGGGCUCAGCCCGGGAAGGGCACUCGAAACUGCCGAGCUGGAGUGCCGGAGGGGAGAGUGGAAUUCCUGGUGUAGCGGUGAAAUGCGUAGAUAUCAGGAGGAACACCGGUGGCGAAGGCGGAUCUCUGGGCCUUACCUGACGCUCAGGCGCGAAAGCUAGGGGAGCGAACUGG